AACGAACGCUGGCGGCAUGCCUAACACAUGCAAGUCGAACGCCAUGGUUUCGGCCAUGGAGUGGCGCACGGGUGAGUAACGCGUGGGAACCUGCCCAGCAGUAUGGGACAACCGCGGGAAACUGCGGCUAAUACCGUAUACGCCCGUCUUUGGGAGACCAGGGGCGGGGAAAGAUUGAUCGCUGUUGGAGGGGCCCGCGUCGGAUUAGGUAGUUGGUGGGGUAAAGGCCUACCAAGCCUGCGAUCCGUAGCUGGUCUGAGAGGAUGAUCAGCCACACUGGGACUGGGACACGGCCCAGACUCCUACGGGAGGCAGCAGUGGGGAAUAUUGGACAAUGGGCGCAAGCCUGAUCCAGCAAUGCCGCGUGAGUGAUGAAGGCCUUAGGGUUGUAAAGCUCUUUCACACGCGACGAUGAUGACGGUAGCGUGAGAAGAAGCCCCGGCUAACUCCGUGCCAGCCGCCGCGGUAAUAC
rnacentral:rRNA from 1 species